rnacentral:rRNA from 1 species
GAUGAAUGCUGGCGGCGUGCCUAACACAUGCAAGUCGAGCGGCAGCGAGGGGUGCUUGCACCCUGUCGGCGAGCGGCGAACGGCUGAGUAACGCGUAGGAAUUUUCCCCAAAGUGAGGAAUAACUGCCCGAAAGGGUAGCUAAUGCCGCAUAUGGUCUUCGGAUUACAGGAUUUAUCCGCUUUGGGAGAAGCCUGCGUUGGAUUAGGUUGUUGGUAGGGUAAUGGCCUACCAAGCCGACGAUCCAUAGCUGGGCUGAGAGGAUGAUCAGCCAGACUGGAACUGAGACACGGUCCAGACUCCUACGGGAGGCAGCAGUGAGGAAUCGUCCACAAUGGGCGAAAGCCUGAUGGAGCAACGCCGCGUGAAGGAUGAAGGCCUUCGGGUUGUAAACUUCUUUUAUGAGUGAAGAAUAUGACGGUAACUCGUGAAUAAGCACCGGCUAACUACGUG